UUAAGCGACUAAGCGUACACGGUGGAUGCCCUGGCAGUCAGAGGCGAUGAAGGACGUGCUAAUCUGCGAAAAGCGUCGGUAAGGUGAUAUGAACCGUUAUAACCGGCGAUGUCCGAAUGGGGAAACCCAGUGCAAUUCGUUGCACUAUCGUUAACUGAAUACAUAGGUUAACGAGGCGAACCGGGGGAACUGAAACAUCUAAGUACCCCGAGGAAAAGAAAUCAACCGAGAUUCCCCCAGUAGCGGCGAGCGAACGGGGAGCAGCCCAGAGUCUGAAUCAGCUUGUGUGUUAGUGGAACGGUCUGGAAAGUCCGACGGUACAGGGUGAUAGUCCCGUACACCAAAAUGCACAGGUUGUGAACUCGAAGAGUAGGGCGGGACACGUGGUAUCCUGUCUGAAUAUGGGGGGACCAUCCUCCAAGGCUAAAUACUCCUGACUGACCGAUAGUGAACCAGUACCGUGAGGGAAAGGCGAAAAGAACCCCGGCGAGGGGAGUGAAAAAGAACCUGAAACCGUGUACGUACAAGCAGUGGGAGCACCUUCGGGUGUGACUGCGUACCUUUUGUAUAAUGGGUCAGCGACUUAUAUUCUGUAGCAAGGUUAACCGUAUAGGGGAGCCGCAGGGAAACCGAGUCUUAACUGGGCGUUAAGUUGCAGGGUAUAGACCCGAAACCCGGUGAUCUAGCCAUGGGCAGGUUGAAGGUUGGGUAACACUAACUGGAGGACCGAACCGACUAAUGUUGAAAAAUUAGCGGAUGACUUGUGGCUGGGGGUGAAAGGCCAAUCAAACCGGGAGAUAGCUGGUUCUCCCCGAAAGCUAUUUAGGUAGCGCCUCGUGAACUCAUCUUCGGGGGUAGAGCACUGUUUCGGCUAGGGGGUCAUCCCGACUUACCAACCCGAUGCAAACUACGAAUACCGAAGAAUGUUAUCACGGGAGACACACGGCGGGUGCUAACGUCCGUCGUGAAGAGGGAAACAACCCAGACCGCCAGCUAAGGUCCCAAAGUCAUGGUUAAGUGGGAAACGAUGUGGGAAGGCACAGACAGCCAGGAUGUUGGCUUAGAAGCAGCCAUCAUUUAAAGAAAGCGUAAUAGCUCACUGGUCGAGUCGGCCUGCGCGGAAGAUGUAACGGGGCUAAACCAUGCACCGAAGCUGCGGCAGCGACACUAUGUGUUGUUGGGUAGGGGAGCGUUCUGUAAGCCUGCGAAGGUGUGCUGUGAGGCAUGCUGGAGGUAUCAGAAGUGCGAAUGCUGACAUAAGUAACGAUAAAGCGGGUGAAAAGCCCGCUCGCCGGAAGACCAAGGGUUCCUGUCCAACGUUAAUCGGGGCAGGGUGAGUCGACCCCUAAGGCGAGGCCGAAAGGCGUAGUCGAUGGGAAACAGGUUAAUAUUCCUGUACUUGGUGUUACUGCGAAGGGGGGACGGAGAAGGCUAUGUUAGCCGGGCGACGGUUGUCCCGGUUUAAGCAUGUAGGCUGGUUGUCCAGGCAAAUCCGGAUAAUCAAGGCUGAGGUGUGAUGACGAGGCACUACGGUGCUGAAGUAACAAAUGCCCUGCUUCCAGGAAAAGCCUCUAAGCAUCAGGUAACAUCAAAUCGUACCCCAAACCGACACAGGUGGUCAGGUAGAGAAUACCAAGGCGCUUGAGAGAACUCGGGUGAAGGAACUAGGCAAAAUGGUGCCGUAACUUCGGGAGAAGGCACGCUGGUGUGUAGGUGAAGUCCCUGCGGAUGGAGCUGAGACCAGUCGAAGAUACCAGCUGGCUGCAACUGUUUAUUAAAAACACAGCACUGUGCAAACACGAAAGUGGACGUAUACGGUGUGACGCCUGCCCGGUGCCGGAAGGUUAAUUGAUGGGGUUAUCCGUAAGGAGAAGCUCUUGAUCGAAGCCCCGGUAAACGGCGGCCGUAACUAUAACGGUCCUAAGGUAGCGAAAUUCCUUGUCGGGUAAGUUCCGACCUGCACGAAUGGCGUAAUGAUGGCCAGGCUGUCUCCACCCGAGACUCAGUGAAAUUGAACUCGCUGUGAAGAUGCAGUGUACCCGCGGCAAGACGGAAAGACCCCGUGAACCUUUACUAUAGCUUGACACUGAACAUUGAGCCUUGAUGUGUAGGAUAGGUGGGAGGCUUUGAAGCGUGGACGCCAGUCUGCGUGGAGCCAACCUUGAAAUACCACCCUUUAAUGUUUGAUGUUCUAACGUUGGCCCCUGACCGGGGUUGCGGACAGUGUCUGGUGGGUAGUUUGACUGGGGCGGUCUCCUCCCAAAGCGUAACGGAGGAGCACGAAGGUUAGCUAAUCCUGGUCGGACAUCAGGAGGUUAGUGCAAUGGCAUAAGCUAGCUUGACUGCGAGCGUGACGGCGCGAGCAGGUGCGAAAGCAGGUCAUAGUGAUCCGGUGGUUCUGAAUGGAAGGGCCAUCGCUCAACGGAUAAAAGGUACUCCGGGGAUAACAGGCUGAUACCGCCCAAGAGUUCAUAUCGACGGCGGUGUUUGGCACCUCGAUGUCGGCUCAUCACAUCCUGGGGCUGAAGUAGGUCCCAAGGGUAUGGCUGUUCGCCAUUUAAAGUGGUACGCGAGCUGGGUUUAGAACGUCGUGAGACAGUUCGGUCCCUAUCUGCCGUGGGCGCUGGAGAAUUGAGGGGGGCUGCUCCUAGUACGAGAGGACCGGAGUGGACGCAUCACUGGUGUUCGGGUUGUCAUGCCAAUGGCACUGCCCGGUAGCUAAAUGCGGAAGAGAUAAGUGCUGAAAGCAUCUAAGCACGAAACUUGCCCCGAGAUGAGUUCUCCCUGAGACUUUAAGUCUCCUGAAGGAACGUUAAAGACGAUGACGUUGAUAGGCCGGGUGUGUAAGCGCAGCGAUGCGUUGAGCUAACCGGUACUAAUGAACCGUGAGGCUUAACCUU
rnacentral:rRNA from 1 species